GUAGGUGGCAAGCGUUGUCCGGAAUUAUUGGGCGUAAAGCGCGCGCAGGCGGUCCUUUAAGUCUGAUGUGAAAGCCCACGGCUCAACCGUGGAGGGUCAUUGGAAACUGGGGGACUUGAGUACAGAAGAGGAAAGCGGAAUUCCAAGUGUAGCGGUGAAAUGCGUAGAGAUUUGGAGGAACACCAGUGGCGAAGGCGGCUUUCUGGUCUGUAACUGACGCUGAGGCGCGAAAGCGUGGGGAGCAAACAGGAUUAGAUACCCUGGUAGUCCACGCGUAAACGAUGAGUGCUAAGUGUUAGGGGGUUUCCCGCCCCCUUAGUGCUGCAGCUAACGCAUUAAGCACUCCGCCUGGGGAGUACGGCCGCAAGGCUG
rnacentral:rRNA from 1 species